UGGGGAAUAUUGGGCAAUGGGCGCAAGCCUGACCCAGCAACGCCGCGUGAAGGAAGAAGGCUUUCGGUUGUAAACUUCUUUUAUGAGGGACGAAUAAAGUGACGGUACCUCAUGAAUAAGCCACGGCUAACUACGUGCC
rnacentral:rRNA from 1 species